rnacentral:hammerhead_ribozyme from 1 species
AUCCAACUGACGAGUCCCAAAAAGGACGAAACACGCGUCCUGGAU